rnacentral:rRNA from 1 species
AGAAUCAACGCUGGCGGCGUGCCUAACACAUGCAAGUCGAACGCGAAAGGGGCUUCGGCCCUGAGUAGAGUGGCGAACGGGUGAGUAACACGUGGGUGAUCUACCUUCGAGUGGGGGAUAACGUCCCGAAAGGGACGCUAAUACCGCAUGAUGUUCUGGGUUUGAAAACCUGGAAACCAAAGCUGGGGACCGCAAGGCCUGGCGCUAGAAGAGGAGCCCGCGCCUGAUUAGCUAGUUGGCGGGUAACGCCCACCAAGGCGACGAUCAGUAGCCGGCCUGAGAGGGCGACGGCCACGACUGGGACUGAGACACGGCCCAGACCUCCGUACGGGAGGCAGCGAGGUGGGGAAUUGUCGCAAUGGGCGCAAGCCUGACGACGCAACGCGCGUGGAGGAUGAAGGCCUUCGGGUACGUAACUCC